rnacentral:rRNA from 1 species
UACAGAGGUCUCAAGCGUUGUUCGGAUUCAUUGGGCGUAAAGGGUGUGUAGGUGGCGCGCUAAGUCGGGUGUGAAAUUUCGGAGCUUAACUCCGAAACUGCAUUCGAUACUGGCGUGCUUGAGGACUGGAGAGGAGACUGGAAUUCAUGGUGUAGCAGUGAAAUGCGUAGAGAUCAUGGGAGACCAGUGGCGAAGGCGGGUCUCUGGACAGUUCCUGACACUGAGACACGAAGGCCAGGGGAGCAAACGGG